GUGGUUUUGGAUGGGCAUGCGUAUGAUUAGUUAGUUGGUAGUGUAACGGACUACCAAGACGAUGAUCAUUAGGGGACCUGAGAGGGUGAUCCCCCACACUGGCACUGAGAUACGGGCCAG
rnacentral:rRNA from 1 species